GAUUAGCCUUUGCUUAUGCAAAGAGGAAUCUACAAAGGUAUAAAUUUCAACUCACUUUGUUUUGAGUUGAUUAAUGGUUCACCAAUCUACUAGGCUUUGAAUUUCAUGGUUAAUGUUUUGUUUUUGAAUGCAUGCAAGCAUGAUUCCGCCUUUAAUUGUUAAUUGCAUGCUAUAUGAUGUUAUUCAAAUGAACAUGUUUUUACAAAAUAAUCCUUCAAGUGGUAUCAGAGCCUAGGUCUAGUAGUUGGUGAAUCCUUUUGGGUUUUGUAGUUCAUAGUUUUGAUUUAAAAGUUGUAAUAUGUUACAAGCUUUAUUCUUGUUUCUUUGAAUGUAAAUUUUGUUAGAAAAAUUUGUCAUCUCAAAUGUUGUAGAUGUAGUUCAUAUGAGCAUGAAUAUUGAAGCUAAAAUUUGGUGCCAUGCUUUUGGGAAAAUUCGGCCAAAUCCAAAGGGUGGAUUUUUGGGUUCUUGUUUGACUUGUUAAAAGUGUUUUCAAGUGACUUUUGGAACCCCUAUGUACCCUAGUUUGGUUAGAUGUUAUUUCCCUUAAGUUUGAUUGGUUUUGGAAUGUUUUUGGGUGAAAAAUGUUCAUGGAAAAAUUUUGGGUUUUUCAUAAGUGUUCUUCAUUGUUCUUGACAUUUUAGCCAAGAACAAAAAGGUUUGUGUUUUGAUUCAAAGUUUUGAUUUAUUUCAUAAAGUUUAUGUUUUAUGUUUUUCAAAUGAUUUAUUGCAUUAGAUAUUUAUUUUGAAAUGGUGAUGGAAAUGGUGAUGGGUGUGUAAGGAUUAAUUUUCUUUCACACACACCACUUGCACCACUUGUUGCUUUAUGUCUAAAACUCACAAAUCAACACACACAUCACUCUAUCUUCUUCCAAAACCGGCCACCC
rnacentral:lncRNA from 1 species